rnacentral:rRNA from 1 species
UACGUAGACGGUUGGAUAAGUCGGAUGUGAAAGCCCCGGGCUCAACCUGGGAAUUGCAUUCGAGACUGUUCAGCUAGGGUGCGGAAGAGGGAAGCGGAAUUUCCGGUGUAGCGGUGAAAUGCGUAGAUAUCGGAAGGAACACCAGUGGCGAAAGCGGCUUCCUGGUCCAGCACCGACGUUCAGGUACGAAAGCAUGGGGGAGCAAACAGGAUUAGAUACCCUGGUAGUCCAUGCCAUAAACCGAUGAGGACUAGACGUUGAGGGGGUAAGCCUCCCAGUGUCGUAGCUAACGCGCUAAGUCCUCCGCCUGGGGAGUACGGCCGCAAGGUUGAA